rnacentral:tRNA from 1 species
GUCCCCAUCGUCUAGAGGCCUAGGACAUCGCCCUUUCACGGCGGUAACCGGGUUCGAAUCCCGUGGGGACGCCA